rnacentral:lncRNA from 1 species
AUGGAGUGGUACGUUGAAGUGCAAUGUCAUUCAUCCCGCCUGGGUGGAGUUCGGAGCGUUUCCUUUUCGGCCGACAGCCAGACACUCCUCACUGCUGGCUUUGAAGAUGGCUCUCUUGUGUGCACUGAUCUCAGAAUGAAAGGUGUGAAUGCUGGUAAGGUGAAUGAAGCUACUCAGUACAGUCAGUCUAUGAAUGAUUUCUUGAAGAACAUAUUCAAUACUGAGAAUCCCGUCCUCAUUGAUUUGCCGGAGUGGGGCCAAGGGUCUCCUGCUGGCUCAGAGAAAAGUGAGGUCAGUGGUGGAGCAGAUACUGUGGAUGUGACCGAGCAGGAUGAGAGUUAUAACAGCCAGCUGUCUGCACCACCUCCCCCCCCCACCUGGCUGGAGAGCAGGCGAGAGGCAGUCAGUGACUUAUCAUGCCAUCAUAUUUGUGGUUGUGGCAUAAGAUGUGGAUAAUGUUAAC